AGCAGCCGCGGUAAUUCCAGCUCCAAUAGCGUAUAUUAAAGUUGCUGCAGUUAAAAAGCUCGUAGUUGAAUUUCGGGACCAAUAUGUCGGUCGUGCUUCGGUACGUACUGGCAUCGUUGGUUUCUCCCUUCUGACGAACCAUGAUGUCAUUCAUUUGGUGUCGUGGGGAAUCAGGACUGUUACUUUGAAAAAAUUAGAGUGUUUAAAGCAGGCUCACGCUUGAAUACAUUAGCAUGGAAUAAUGAAAUAGGACGUUUGAUUCUAUUUUGUUGGUUUCUAGGAUCGACGUAAUGAUUAAUAGGGAUAGUUGGGGGCAUUAGUAUUCAAUUGUCAGAGGUGAAAUUUCUUGGUUUAUGAAGACUAACUACUGCGAAAGCAUUUGCCGAAGGAUGUUUUCAUUAACAAGAACGAAAGUUAGGGGAUCGAAGACGAUCAGAUACCGUCGUAUUCUUACUAUAACUUUGCCGACUUGGGAUCGGAUGAUGU
rnacentral:rRNA from 1 species